rnacentral:lncRNA from 1 species
CCAAGCUUGCUGUAUAUGUUUACCUCCUAGCAAGAAAACAGAUUUAAAAAGCAAGCAAUUAUGUAAAGCAAAGGUUCAGAUGUCAUGGAAGUCACCUGUAUGAAGGACAUUUACUAAGACUUGGAAAGAUCAGAAGUGAAUUCCUUGAUGUGUUGCUGUGAUUGCAGAUGCAGUAAAGGAAUGAACAUCCCCUUCCUCUCCUCUUGCAUCAUAUAAGCAACUUCCACACAUGUCCUCUGGAUUUAUCAAGUUGGUCCAGAAACUUCUAGUCUGUGAACCGUGUUUAUAAGAAAGAUAGGCCUAAUAUGGCAGUACCAGCAAGGUCUAUUUGAUAAUGGACUAAGGAGAAAUAACACUCGAGAGCAGGAAAGGGAAGAGUUAA